CCAGACUCCUACGGGAGGCAGCAGUGAGGAAUAUUGGUCAAUGGGCGGGAGCCUGAACCAGCCAAGCAGCGUGAGGGAAGAAGGUACAGCGUAUUGUAAACCUCUUUUGUCAGGGAACAAAGGCGCGGACUAGUCCCCGGAUGCGGGUACCUGAAGAAAAAGCAUCGGCUAAUUCCGUGCCAGCAGCCGCGGUAAUACGGAGGAUGCGAGCGUUAUCCGGAUUUAUUGGGUUUAAAGGGAGCGCAGGCGGCACGGCAAGCCUGAUGUGAAAUGCCGCGGCCCAACCGCGGGACUGCAUUGGGAACUACCGGGCUGGAGUGCCGGAGAGGUAGGCGGAAUUCCUAGUGUAGCGGUGAAAUGCGUAGAUAUUAGGAGGAACACCAGUGGCGAAGGCGGCCUACUGGACGGUAACUGACGCUGAGGCUCGAAAGCGUGGGGAGCAAACAGGAUUAGAUACCCGAGUA
rnacentral:rRNA from 1 species